GAGCAGCAGAUUGAGAUUGUAUUUGUUGGGUUGAACAACUUUUGGCAUUAGAGUUCAAUUCCAAAGAUGGGUUCCCCAAACAAAGAGGACCCAUCUGCAAAUUCCUGCCCUGGAGAAGGUCCAUUCUUCUUUUUCCUGACCCUUGCAUGACCCAACCCAGAAGAAUCAAGAAGACACAAAACUUUCCUAAACUUAAACACAGCGUCUCCAGUUUCCGCCAUUAAACGACUCCUAAGCUUCAACUGAUCUUGAGACGAGGAAGCCACAGUCAAGAGAUUCAAC
rnacentral:misc_RNA from 1 species